GUUAUUUAUGGCACGAGCCGAACAUAACUCACAACGCUCACAACCGGGCCCGGCGGCGAGUUGCGCACACGCUCCGGCGCGCAGCGUAUAUUAGUCUUAAAUUCGAUUGCUUAAAUUCACUGUCCAAGUAGAAAACGAAACUAAAACAAAAUAUAUAUACCUAAGUAAUGGUCAUUGUACAAUAAUAAAUUGUGUAACUAUUAACUGUGGGGGUACAAUACACGUUGAAAUAAUGCCACACGCCACUCAUUAACAAAAGUACCACUAUGCAGCAAUGGGAUUAGUCAUGGCGGCCACUAUCACUGAUCGUGAAACAACAUCCACCUCGCCGCCCGGACGAAUACGUGAAGACCGACAUGGAGGAGGAAUGUUGUUCCAACAGUGCGUGGCGGCAUACCUAAAGGAUCCCCGAAAGGCAGUGGUCCUGUGAUGUGGAGUCAUCAUUGGAUUAGUUAUAGUUCGCGUGCCAAAUCUGAAAUGGUCUUGUCUCCAACAUAGUUUGUUAUAAAGGUAUUUUGGCUU